GGAUUGAGACAUUUGGACCAACCGUGAGUGAUCAACCAUUGGAGCAAGCUAUGGAGCUUGAGUAGCUCAUUGGAAUUGGUGUUGGUUUUGGAGUAGAGUAUUGUUGACAUUGGUGGUGAACUAAGGUUGCUGAAGCUUUGAGGUAAGGAUGCUGCAGGAGCCUCUGGUGGCAAGUGGCCAUAUCUGGAUUAUGCAUGAAAUGUGGCAUUUCUUUUGAGAUUAUACAUGUUGUUUUGUAGCUCACAUGUAUAGAAUUGUAAUGAAUAGGCAAUGCUAGAUUUAUGAUUUGUAUAUUGGAAUGGACUUAGCCUAUGCUCAUGCCUUUGGUCAUCUCUUUUGUUGAUGGGAGCCAAGGGAAUGAUCAUAGUAUUUUGUAAGCUAAGUUCCAUGAUUUGUAAUGGAUAUGUACUGUAAAU